CAACACAUAAACGUUAGGUAAACGUUUAAAAAUCGUUUUUCGUUCGUAAACCUGCCGAAUGGUUUUUUUCUCUAACGAUAAAAACGUCCUGUGUGGAGACUAAGUCUAAAAACGCCGCGUGAACGUUUUAGAAACGUUUAGAUCCGAACUGUAUACCUCCUGUUCUCCCCGCAUAGAGAGCGUAAGACUCGCAAGCAAUAUCGUCCAGUAUCAUUUUGGGCUUGGGUAUCAUUUCAUCUAUUUAACCUAUACGCAUACGUUUUUCUUGAGUCAACUGAAUUGAAGUGCAGAGUCUGUGUAUUUUCGACGACGAGGAGGAGAGCGUGAAAGUGGCCUCCUUCCUCGUCCGUUUGUUGUGUCGCUGCGUGCAUAUCGCGAAUAAUAAGAUAAUAAAAAGUCAUUCGUGAAAGUGUCGUCCGCGGUUUCGCGCUGCUUCUCUCGGCCAGUCUCCAUCUCCGUCCACUCUUUCCGCGCUCAUCAUCCGUUCCUACGUUCCUUUCCUGCUUCCUUUUCCACCUCUGUCCGUCAGCUGAACGUCCGCAUCGUGGCGAAAACGGUGUGAAAGUGAUCAGAGAAGAAAAGAAGGAGAGAGAGAGAGAGAGAGAGAGAGAGAGAGAGAGAGAGAGAGAGAGAGAGAGAGAGAGAGAGAGAGCGAGCAAGGAGAAUCGAUGUGCUUUGGAAGCCUCAAUAAUGAAUGUAUUGUAUUUUACGAAAUGACCGAGUUCCACAAACGAUUUAUCGGGGAGCGAAGGCUAAGAAGAUACGCCAAAGCUGAAGCUGAGAAGGUAUUCGCUCAUAUAUUAGAAGAUGAUGAGGACAUUUUAAACGCGAUUACAGCAGAUAGUAUUAUAAAUUCACAUGAGACUCAAGAUAUCUCUCAUGAUUCCAUUGAUAAUAUUAGUGAAUCUGCACAUAGCAAUAAAAAUUUACAGCUUACAAGACAAAUAAAUGAUGAUAACAAUAGUGAAUAUGUUUAUAUGAGACAUGAUCUGUUAGCAAGUAUUGAAUCAGAUAGUAACUCAAGUGAUGAAGAUGGAGAAGACAAUGAUGAGGAUGAGCAAGUGAAAUUCAGGCAAUGGCUAAGAGAAUGGAAUUUAAAACACAAUAUUACAGUGGAAACGUGCAGAGAGCUUCUUGCAAAACUAAAACCAUAUUAUCCAGACUUGCCCUUAGAUCCGCGGACUCUUAAUAAGACGCCUAGAGUAACAUCAAUUGUAGAAUUCGGUAACGGUUCCUAUGUCCAUGUUGGAUUAAUACCAGGACUUGAAAGACGUACGCCUACAAAAUUGUAGACUAAAAAAUUUUGGUACAAACAAAAUAGGUUUAUGUUAAUGUUGAUGGAAUAAAUAUGACCAAAAGGUACCUGUUAUUCUUUUGAUUAAAUCAUGUUCAGCACUUUUUUAAUUUAUUUUAGGAUAAUGUUAAAUUUCACCUCUUUCAUGAAAAAGGGACUUCCACAAAAAGACGAAAAUCAAACAAGCCGGGUCAAAUUGUUGAAAAUAAACGUAGAAAAAAAAAUAUUGCUCUGAAUGAUCAACACGACCAAUCUGAUAAAAGCUUUGAAGAAAUGUCUAUGACAGAGUUUGUCUCAAGGAUUAAUAGUACAAAAUAGAGCAAAACUGGAACAGCGAGUUCAGAAGCUGACAAACACAGAAGUCUGGAGAACAUAACUGAAGAGGAAGAACCAAAUGAGAACGAUCCAGUUCAAACAGAUACAGCCGCCGACACAGAUGGAAGAAGAACAGGCGUCAUAGCACUUUUGAAACAAAUGUAUGAAAAAACUAAAAAAAUAGAACAAAGGCAGACAAACUUGGAAAACAAUAUCGAGGAGAUUAAGCAACUUCUACUUUCUAGAACAGAGACUUUGACUCAUCCUAAAGAUUUACCAAAGCUGCCUCUACAAGAUUAUGCUGAUUGAAAAAAAUAAAUCGAGAAGAGUCACAGAAAGACUAUGUUAUCAAGAAACUGUGUCUAGCUGCUAGAGGGACCAGUGAUAAAGAAUGCCAAGCGAGUGAUGGAGAAAUUAAUGUCCAAUCAUGUUGGUACCUUUUACAGUUGGCAGGGAAGUAGCGGAAAAAAAGAUUCAUUUAAAAACAGUUAUGAUGGAGACUGUAAGACUUGCAAUAAAAAAACUUCGUCAUGAUGUGGAUAUGGGUACUGCUAAAGACGCAAUAAAAAACUGGCUCAAAUCAAGAAAAUUUGCCAAGAAUAAUGCUAUUCUCUUAAUAUUAAAUAAUGUGAAAAAAAAAUUUUGUGUUUAUUUUAUUUUUAAGAUUUGUAAUAAGUCUUAAA